CUUCUCUGCAAAGUUGCCCUUCAGAUUUUUUACCCCAUACCUGUACUGGUGUAUGGAAUUGUGUCUCCACAGGUGAAGGACAUGGAAUUUCCCUUUGCCAGAGAAUUGGCACAUUUCUCCAGUCUAUCUCUAGUCCCUCUGAAUGGUAGCACAAACAUCCAGUGCUUCUAAUAUACCACCCACUUCUGUACUGACCUCCAACUUACUGAGGAUGCAGUCUGUUCCACCAUCCAGUCAUUAACAAAGAUUUUCAACAAUACUGUCUCCAGUAUUAGCCUCUAGUUUCCACCAUUCGUGAUCGGACUACAGAGGGACUUUGUGUUUCUGAUCACAGAACUCAGAGUAGCACGGUCUGUUUUCAACUCACCUUUCUGUCCACUUAUUUAGCUCAUCCUUCAUCAUUUUGUCAACAAUGCUGCAAGAGGGAGUGUCAAAACUUUCUAAAUCAAGAGAAUGAGCAUCGACUGCUCUCCCUUUGAUGAUCAAUCUAAUCGUUUCAUUGUAGAAGAGUAUUGGAUUGGUAAAGCGUGAUUUCACCUUCAUAACCCUAUGUUGACUACUCCCAUUUAAAUUCAUGCUUUUCACAUGUUUGGAAAUGGUUUCCAGGAGGAACUGUCUCUUCCCAGUGACCAAGACUGACCAGCCUACAGUUCCCCAUGUUCUCCUUCUAGCCAUUCGUGAAGAUAGGAGUGGUAUUUACCCCAGGAUCAUAAGGAUUAUCUUCUCCUGAUCCUUAGGAUUUUUCAAAGAUAAUUGAGAAUGACCUCAUAAUGACAUCACCUAGCUCUCUCAGCAUUCAUGGAUGCAUCCCAUCCACUCCUGUAGGGUGGAUAUACGUUCACUUUCUUUAGAUGUUUCCCUGCUUGAUUCUCCUUCACCAGAUGGGACCAUUCCCUGUUCUAGACUUUACACUGGUUGCAGGGGCAUGUGAUUCCUGACACCAUUUAACAGUAAAGACUGACUGACCUCAUUGGCCUUUUCCAUGUCUUUUUUCACUUCCUCCCCGAUUUAAUCAGCAGCAGGCUCACAUUCUCCGUAGAUUUCCUUUUGUUGUUCAUAUAUCUGUAGAAGUCUAUCUUUUUUCCCUUCAUAUCCCCCAUCAUAUGCAACUCCAGAUGAACUUUGGCUUUCCUCACUCCAUUUCUACGUGUAUGGGCAGUGUGUCUUUAUUCUUACAGGGUGAUACAUUCACUUUUAUGUUUAAAUUUUGCCAUCCACAUGGGCCUGCAGACACCUAUACUUGACUUUCUUUCAUGCAGAUCCCUGAAUGGGCCCAAGUAUGCAGUUCUGAAAUCCAGGGUUCUGAUCCUGCUACUUGCCAUGUUCCUUCCUCUCAAACGUCACAAUUUCAUAUCACUGAAGUCAAGGCUGCCCCCAGUUUUCAUAGAUGCUGAUAAGUGGAGGUAAAUGAUGGAUUCAGCACUGACAAAUUCAAAGUAUUAUUGACAUGAGGAAAUAACACGGACUGCUCAUCUGUAAUCAUAGGUUUUAAAUUAAGACUAUUCUCUAAAAAGAAGAGCCCGAGUAUCCUUUGAACAGAUCAGUAUAAAAAAAGUCAUGAUAGUGCCUCGAGGGUCAGAUAAAAUGUUCUUAUGAACAAUCACCAAUGCUUUCAGAACAUGCAGUGUGCUCCUUUGAAAAAGGAUGUGGUGGGGAAAUAAGGUAUAAUUUCUCAGCUUUGGCAUUUUCCUGUGAGAAAAACAUGAAACCCAGACUGUUGGUGGGAAAUGCACACCAUCUUUGGUCAAGUUACCUUUCAAUGUUCUGACACCAAGUCCCUCUGUUAUCAAAUGGUGAAAGAUAUCCCAUGACUUU
ensembl:lncRNA